AGAUUUGCAGCGAGGCGGGCACCUACUCUAUCCAAUCUCCUUGUUCCCAGUAUGGUGGACACGGCUAGUGUUACCACCCAGUGGAUUAGCACCAAGGGCUUCCACAAGUGCGGUAAAUCGUGGUGUGUGUGGUAUGUCCCUUUGCCGAAAAAUGCCAGAAAAUAGAAGGUCAUAUUUUUAUCAAGAAAGACUUCUCGUGCCAGUCUCUAGAGGUAAAGUCUUGCGAGAUGUUACAUGUAUUUAAUGUGGUGAUUGGAUUGCACUGAUAGACUUGACAAAGGGGGCAGAGGCCCUUGAAAUGCCGUUGUUGCUCACAGUGAGUUCUCUGACUCUGCUGUAAAUGCGGAGCGAAGCUGUCUUUGAAAAGGAAAGGCUCCUGGAGUGAAGAUAAAGUUGUUUGUACAGCUGCUCCAUAAAGCACUGUGAUCUGCGCACUUGGGCGAAUAUGUAAAAUAUUAUAUCUGUUACAUUGUGAAUUGAUAAUAUUCUACAUAAAGAGCAAG